rnacentral:lncRNA from 1 species
GCCAAGGACUUGAAGAGAAUAGAAUUUUACAAAUACUUUGGAGAAAAGGGAGCACAAGAUAUAAGAAAAGGACAUUAAUAAAUAAAAAGACUGGAAGAGGAGAUUAGGACACAGACACACACAGAGGGAAGACCAUGGGAAGACACAGAGGGAAGAUGGCCAUGGAAAAGCUAGAGAGAGAGAGUUCUCAGAAGAAGUAACUCUGCCAACACCUUGAUCUCAGAUUUCUAGCCUCCAAAGGUUAUACCAUGCAGUUUCUCAAAACUAUUUCAAGGACAUGUUGGAAGGAACUGGAGGUUGCAGUUGACUCUGUUGUAGCCUUGCCAGCAUACGUUUUCUGGACUGAAAGCACCUGUCUCUCACUUUCUACAAUGUCAAGAGAAUGAGAAGACAAGCCUCAGAAUGAGAAGAAACAUUUGUAAAAGAUACAUCUAAUAAAGCAGUUUUAUCCAAAAUAUAUAAUACAAAGAUCUCUUGAGACUCAACAUUAAGGAAGCAAACAACCAGAAUAAAAAAUGAGCUCCAGAUACUAACAGCCACCUCAUCAAAGACAAUACACAGAUAACAAAUUACCAUAUGAAAAUGUGGUCUCUAUCAUAUGUCAUCAUGGAAAUUCAAAUUAAAGCCACAGUGAGAUACCACUACACACCUAUAAGAAUAGCCAAAAUCCAGAAUACAGACAACACCAUACGCUAAUGAGGAUUAGGAGCAACAGGAACUCGUAUUCAUGCUGGUGGGAAUGCAGCAAGGAACAUUUCCCUCUCUGGAUACAUGUGUUUCAGAUCACAAAGCCAUAGAUGAGAGGAGUCUCUCUUUCUAAAUCACUUUUUGAAGAACACCUACUCAAGAGAGUCACCUGACCCCGUUGGAAUAUAAGAUGUGUGGGAAAUCUACCUUAUUGCAUUAAACUACUCAGAUUUUUGUGUGGUUGGUUAAA